ACCCAGCCUCAUCGCCUGUAUGGCCUUUCACUCAGAAUUUUCCCUUCCUGGGUCACACAGAUUGACCCUUUUCCACGUUUCUGGGGGAUUCUCUGUGUCAAAGGGAAUUCGAGCCAUUUAUUCAAAUGUGUCUGGUUUGCGUGGGGCGUCAGACUGAAGGAUGACACUGCAAACCUGAGGGGACGGCCUCCAAUUAAUCAGAGAGCCAGGCCUCACCUUGCCAGGGUCUCACAGAGUGUGUCACAGUCACAACUAUUGAUUCCAGGUCCGUCGAUGCUGCAGCUCCAAAAGCUCCAGGCAUUUAAGGAACUUGACUUUCAGAAAGACUGCUUUUUGGACCUGAAGUUAACACUUUCCUCCUUGGUUAAUGCUGCCCUGUUCUGAACUUCUCUAUUCAAAGUUUGGCAUGAAGACAGCUACUGAGAGCUUGAAGGAGGAUCCAGCCUGCUUCUCACACCACUGAACUUCCCUCUUCAUCACCUUGGCUUUGUACUUCCCGGGAUGGAACUGCUUGUUAACUCUCUGAACUAGCCCAAAGCAGGUAAUAUUCAAAGCAGUUCAAUCCAAAGAGCUAUUUUUACAAGUCUGCUGGGAGAUAACAUAGGGGAUAAAGCAGAUUCCAGAAAUACUACU
rnacentral:lncRNA from 1 species